CAGUAGCCGCGGUAAUGCGAAGGGUGCAAGCGUUAAUCGGAAUUACUGGGCGUAAAGCGUGCGUAGGCGGUGAGUUAAGUCUGCUGUGAAAUCCCCGGGCUCAACCUGGGAAUGGCAGUGGAUACUGGCUCGCUAGAGUGUGUCAGAGGAUGGUGGAAUUCCCGGUGUAGCGGUAAAAUGCGUAGAGAUCGGGAGGAACAUCAGUGGCGAAGGCGGCCACCUGGGACAACACUGACGCUGAGGCACGAAAGCGUGGGGAGCAAACAGGAUUAGAUACCCCUGUAGUCCCUGUCUCUUAUAC
rnacentral:rRNA from 1 species